rnacentral:rRNA from 1 species
GAUGAACGCUAGCGGGAGGCUUAACACAUGCAAGUCGAGCGGUAGGGCAGCAAUGCCUGAGAGCGGCGCACGGGUGCGUAACGCGUAUGCAACCUGCCUUAUACAGGGGAAUAGCCCCUGGAAACGUGGCUUAAUGUCCCAUAGGAUUACGGAUUCGCCUGGAUUUGUGAUUAAAACUGAAGUGGUAUAAGAUGGGCAUGCGCCUGAUUAGGUAGUUGGUAGGGUAAUGGCCUACCAAGCCGACGAUCAGUAGGGGUUCUGAGAGGAUUACCCCCCACACUGGUACUGAGACGCGGACCAGACUCCUACGGGAGGCAGCAGUGAGGAAUAUUGGUCAAUGGCCGGAAGGCUGAACCAGCCAUCCCGCGUGCAGGAUGACGGCCCUAUGGGUUGUAAACUGCUUUUGUACCUGAAUAAACCUGUUUACGAGUAGACAGUUGCCGGUAAGGUAUGAAUAAGCAUCGGCUAACUCCGUGCCAGCCGCCGCAGUAAGAC